rnacentral:rRNA from 1 species
UACGGAGGGUGCAAGCGUUAUCCGGAUUCACUGGGUUUAAAGGGUGCGUAGGCGGAUAGGUAAGUCCGUGGUGAAAUCCUGCAGCUUAACUGCAGAACUGCCGUGGAUACUAUUUAUCUUGAAUAUCGUGGAGGUUAGCAGAAUAUGUCAUGUAGCGGUGAAAUGCUUAGAUAUGAACAUAGAAUACCCAUUGCGAAGGCAGCUAACUACGCGAUAAUUGACGCUGAGGCACGAAAGCGUGGGGAUCAAACAGG